ensembl:snoRNA
GUUAUAGAUGAGUUCCUCUCCAAGGGGCCAACUGGUACCCCUCUUAGGAAAGCGGCAGCUUGGAAUUCAAUCUGGCCUGGCUAAGGUCUCUUAGGGACAGGGGAUGCUGCUUUAUUUUGUCUUCCUGGGGCUGCCUACAUGU